rnacentral:rRNA from 1 species
UAGUCCACGCUGUAAACGAUGUCUACUAGCCGUCGGGGUCCUUAGUGACUUUGGUGGCGCAGCUAACGCGAUAAGUAGACCGCCUGGGGAGUACGGCCGCAAGGUUAAAACUCAAAUGAAUUGACGGGGGCCCGCACAAGCGGUGGAGCAUGUGGUUUAAUUCGAUGCAACGCGAAGAACCUUACCAGGUCUUGACAUCCUCGGAACUUGGCAGAGAUGCCUUGGUGCCUUCGGGAGCCGAGUGACAGGUGCUGCAUGGCCGUCGUCAGCUCGUGUCGUGAGAUGUUGGGUUAAGUCCCGUAACGAGCGCAACCCUUGUCCUUAGUUGCCAGCACGUCAUGGUGGGAACUCUAGGGAGACUGCCGGUGACAAACCGGAGGAAGGUGGGGACGACGUCAGGUCAUCAUGGCCCUUACGACCUGGGCUACACACGUGCUACAAUGGCCGUGACAAAGAGUUGCUACUUUGUGAAAACAAGCUAAUCUCAUAAACGCGGCCUCAGUUCGGAUUGC